GGGGGCCAUGGCUCAGUGGAAAAGCUUCUGGUUUGCAUGCAAAGGUCUUGGGUUCAAUCCCCAACAUUUCCA
rnacentral:tRNA from 1 species